rnacentral:rRNA from 1 species
GACGAACGCUGGCGGCGUGCCUAAUACAUGCAAGUAGAACGCAGUUGCGAACGGGUGAGUAUCGCGUAGGUAACUGCCUCAUAGCGGGGGAUUACUAUUGGCAACGAUAGCUAAUACCGCAUACUGUGAGAUGGACCUGCGUUGUAAUAGCUAGUUGGUGAGGUAAAGGCUCACCAAGGCGACGAUACAUAGCCGACCUGAGAGGGGGAACGGCGAAACUGGGGAUGGGAAACGGCCCCGGAUCCUGCAGGAGGCAGCAGGAGGGAAUCAUUGGCAAUGGACGGAAGGCUGACCGAACAACGGCGCGUGGGUGGAGGAGGUUUUCGGAAUGUAAAGCUCCGUUGUUAGAGAAGCGUUAACUAACCAGAAAGGGACGGCUAACUACGUGCCAGCAGCCGCGGUAAUAC